AAACACUUCGACAAGCGAGCCCCCUUUUCUCUCCUCGCACCAAUCCUCCUGUCCCCGAGCCCCUCGCAAGCGCUAGGGUUCCCCCACCCCCAUCUUCUGCAACCACCACGCCGCCGCCGCCCCCAUCUUCUGCGACCACCACGCCGUCGACGCCGUCCUGAAGCACGCUACUCCUCCCCCUUGCCAAGCCGCCCUGGAUCUUGCGGUGGAGCUGGCCGCCUCGUGGCCAUGGAGGGCUCGCCAGCCGCCUCCGGAGUCCCACAUCCCCAAGAUCGACUGGAUUGCAGCCGCCUGGUCGAGGUCGUCAGCCUUGACGGGCUCCUCCAUCACGUCUGGUCCCAUGGCUCCUCCGGUACUACCUCGCCUGUGCUUGCUCCCGUCCACGCCGACGUCUUGCUCGGGCCGCGGCAUGACCUGCUCGCCACGCCCGCCCAAACCCCAAGCCACACUUCCUCUUCCACCUCUGCGUACUCCUGGUUGCAGCGCCAGCUCGCCACGGGCAAGGAUCGGCAGCUCGCCGGCGUGGCGCGUGGCAGGGGAGAGAAGGGGGGCAAGAUCGGCGGGGCAGAGUUCUUCCGGAAGGACGGCGUGGUGGGCGACAUGGACGGGUACCUCAACUACCUGUCCCUCGAGUAUGACUUCGUCUCGGACACCAAUCCUUCUUGGGUAUCUUCAAGGUCCAUGCUCCAAAUAUAAAUAAGAUUUGGUCCGACGGGCCCUUCAUUGGCGUACUCCUGGGACACCUCCAUGUAGCACCAAGGGGAAUAUUUGUUCAGAAUAUUUGUUCAGAAUCUUCAGUCUUGUAAUUUUCUCCUUGAUGACAAUGACCAUGCCGUGCUGGGGAUUUGGGAUUCCAUCCUUGCUGUUUGGACUUCCGCUGCUAAUUCCAGAUCUUAUCCAAAGACUUGGGACUCCAAAUUACAUGCCCCAGAACAUUGGCGACCAAACAUCAGAGGCCCAAUUAGUUACGAGACUGACUCGUUGGGGUUUCGCUUGUAGCAUUCUUGAGAUGUUCAGUGGCGUUCAGACUUGGUGUGCCAAAUCACCAGAUGAGAUUUAUCAGUCAGUUGUCCUGAAGAAAGAGAAACCGAUGUUCCUGUAUAAUUUACCUACGGAGGUCGCUAAUGUCCUCUCUGGCUGCUAUGAGUAUGACUUUCAGGAUCACUCCUUGAUGUUAGAUAUCUUACAGUCAUUUGAAAGAUGGAUUGAGGAGGUCAGAGAUGUAUAACAGCCGUAUUGAUCCAAUUGACAAGUUGGAGGUGACACAUGAACGUUGGCAAUGCAAAAUAGCAUAUAUAAAAUAACUGCAGCUCAGGCCAUGUAGUUCUACAACAACCAAGGAAGAAGUCCGUUUUUUAAGCCGACCUCGGCCAAGCAUUUAAGCUUAUAUGGGUGCUCUCUAUUUUUCAGAGGUGCGUGUACUGAGAACGCCCAUGAUUUAGGGCCAAAAAUCUAGAGAAAGUGACAAAACUUUGUACGAGACUUACUUGAAGCCAGUGAUAGCCCGUUGAAGGAUGCCGAUUGUGGCUAUCCAACUACAGCAACGUGCUUGCAACUCAUGAGUAGCAAAAUCCUAUAAAAGCAUGGAUAAUUGUGAUGAUGCCAUAGUUUCCUGAUUACUAUGAUAAUUUACCAGAUGAGGAGGUGGGAGAGGCGCCGCCCAAGGAUGUCAGGGGAGGAGGGCAACAAGGCUGGGGAGCGGAGGCUGACGGGGAAGAGAAUGAUCAAGCAUGUAAAUUGAGAGCACAAGCUCAUGAUUUAUCAAGGGAGUGGCGCUGCCGCCGGAUUAGAAAAUCAUAUCUCACAUUAAGGUGUUUUUGUCUUCUGUUUUUGUACAAAUUUGGUGCAGGCAAAAUUUUGAUGAUAUAUAUAAGAUGACUAGCAUUAUCUUUUUA